GUGAGUGUCUGUGUGUGGGUGUAUUGCAUAUGUCCAUGUCCCUGGAGUACAGAAGAGGGGUGUGUGUGUGUGUGUGUGUGUGUGUGUGUGUGUGUGUGUGUGUAGCUACAGUUGCGGCUGCCUCAUGUUGGGAAUGGAACCUGGAUCCUCUGCAAGAGCAACAAAUGCUUUUAACCACUGAGUCAUUUUUUUUCCCAGCCCCAUCCUGGAAUGAGAUGAUGUCAUCUCUGGUUUAUCCAGAUAUUUCAAUGAAUGGGCUAAAGGAAAAAGUCUAAUUCCUUGCUAAGAUAGAAUUAUCCCAGUCUCUUUCUGGGUACAUCUCAAAAGGAGACCAAAAUGCCAGGGGCCAGAGACCUCACAAUGUACAGAACAGCCACUGCAGCAAAGAACGACGGGACGUGGAGUGCUCCUGGCAUAGAGCAGAGAUGCUGCACUCUCUCUGCCUAGAGAUGCAGGUGUGCGCACACAGGAGCCCACAAGCACUUCCGCUCUGCCGAUGGUGGGGGCACAGGCUUCCACAUCUCAUCCUUUCCAUGUGCCUGCCCAUGGAGACGGCUUUGCGUCGCGCGCAUGAGCGGAGCAUCUCCAGCCUCCAGACGCCGUUCUCUGGGCUUGGAUCACUGACUGGCUCAUUCUUCGGCUGAUGGACACUCAGGUCGUUUCUAGCUUCUGCACACAAGGUCCCAGGACAAUGCUUGUCCACAGCUUGGAGAACCCAUGGCGGACAGCUGGUGUGUCUGUCUGCUAACUCCUUCUAGUAGACUAGCUAGGUCAAAGUGGACAAGAGUUCAGGAUGCUCGCAGGUGUUGCCAAAGGCCUUCUGAAGAUACUCAUCGCGCACUCCCAUCUCCCACCAGCCUGUCAACAGGAUGCUUCUGUUCUAUUUGAAAACAAGGCUCCUGCCUCCUGGUUCCUGUCUUGCUUGAGUUCCUGUCCUGACUUCUUUUGAUGAUGAGCAGUGAUACAGAAGUGUAAGUCAAAUAAGUUCUUUCCUCUCUAAGUUGCUUUGGUCAUGGUGUUUCAAUUAAAG
rnacentral:lncRNA from 1 species